rfam:Glycine soja cultivar W05 scaffold961_25, whole genome shotgun sequence.
UUUCCCUAUGAUGAUUUAUUAUCUUGAAAGUAGUGGACUGAAUUUCCUUGAGGAGAAAUGAAAUCUGAGGGAUG